AUUGAACGCUGGCGGAAUGCUUUACACAUGCAAGUCGAACGGUAGAGGGGGCAACCCCUCGAGAGUGGCGAACGGGUGAGUAAUAUAUCGGAACGUGCCCAGUCGGGGGGGAUAACGUAGCGAAAGUUACGCUAAUACCGCAUACGAUCUGAGGAUGAAAGCGGGGGAUCGCAAGAACUCGCGCGAUUGGAGCGGCGGAUAUCAGAUUAGGUAGUUGGUGGGGUAAAGGCUAACCAAGACAACGAUCUGUAGCUGGUCUGAGAGGAGGACCAGCCACACCGGAACUGAGACACGGUCCAGACUCCUACGGGAGGCAGCAGUGGGGAAUUUUGGACAAUGGACGCAAGUCUGAUCCAGCCAUUCCGCGUGCAGGAUGAAGGCCCUCGGGUUGUAAACUGCUUUUGUACGGAACGAAAAGGUCUCUCUUAAUACGGGGGGCUCAUGACGGUACCGUAAGAAUAAGCACCGGCUAACUACGUGCCAGCCGCCGCGGUAA
rnacentral:rRNA from 1 species